rnacentral:rRNA from 1 species
CUGAACGCUGGCGGCAGGCCUAACACAUGCAAGUCGAGCGGAUGAUGAAAGCUUGCUUUCUGAUCCAGCGGCGGACGGGUGAGUAAUGCCUAGGAAUCUGCCUGUUAGUGGGGGAUAACUCGGGGAAACUCGGGCUAAUACCGCAUACGUCCUACGGGAGAAAGUGGGGGAUCUUCGGACCUCACGCUAACAGAUGAGCCUAGGUCUGAUUAGCUAGUAGGUGAGGUAAUGGCUAACCUAGGCUACGAUCCGUAACUGGUCUGAGAGGAUGAUCAGUCACACUGGAACUGAGACACGGUCCAGACUCCUACGGGAGGCAGCAGUGGGGAAUAUUGGACAAUGGGCGAAAGCCUGAUCCAGCCAUGCCGCGUGUGUGAAGAAGGUCUUCGGAUUGUAAAGCACUUUAAGUUGGGAGGAAGGGUUGUAGAUUAAUACUCUGCAAUUUUGACGUUACCGACAGAAUAAGCACCGGCUAACUCUGUGCCAGCCGCCGCAGUAAUAC